AUGGCGACCCCGGGGAUGGGCUGGCAGCAGCCGCAGCACGGCUACGGCGGCGGUUCGGCGCCCGGCGCGGGAAAACUCGGCUCCGGCUCAACCCAGGGUGGUCUGGGCGGCGAGCACAGCCCGGACCUGCAUUUCAAAAUGAGCAAGAAGAUCGCCCAGCUCACCAAGGUAAUAUACGCUUUGAACACUAAAAAUGAUGAACACGAAGCUGCUAUCCAAGCCCUUAAGGAUGCUCAUGAAGAAGAAAUUCAACAAAUUCUUGCAGAGACCAGAGAGAAGAUCUUGCAGUAUAAAAGUAAAGUUGCAGAAGAAAUGGAUCUCAAGAGAAAGAUCCAGGUUUUAGAAGAGUCACUGGAAGAUCAUAAAAAGAUGAAACAUCAGGCCUUGACAGAAUUUGAAGCCUAUAAGGAUAGAGUUGAAGAUAUGCAGCUUUGCGCAGAAGCUCAGCAUGUCCAACGUGUAGUGACCAUGUCAAGAGAAGUAGAAGAGAUCAGAAAGAAAUUUGAGGAAAGGCUAAGAAGUUUCAUACAGUUGCAAGUACAGUAUGAGAAGGACAAGCGUACAGCUCUGGAAGAUUUGAGAGCUGCCCACAGGCUUGAGAUUCAAGAACUUCUGAAGACUCAACAGAGUCAGAAUGCUACUUUAAGUAAGGGGCAAGAAAAGUUAGAGGAAUUGCAUAGACUGGAGCUGGAAGACUUGAACAGUAAAGUUGAAGAGUUAAGACUGGAAAGAAAAAAACUCAUUGAAGACUAUGAAGGUAAACUCAGCAAAGCACAGUCCUUUUAUGAACACGAACUUGAUUCUUUGAAAAGAUCUCAGCUUUUUACAGCAGAAAGUCUGCAUGCUUGUAAAGAAAAAGAAGUGGAGCUAAGAAAAGAAUUUCAAAACCAGGAAAGUAUGUUACGGAAGAACUUGGGAAAGCUUAAAACUGAAUUGCAAAUGGUCCAGGAUGAAGCUGCCAGUCUACGGGAAAAAUGCCAAAAACUUCAGGUGGCUCUUGGUACAGCAGAAAACAAUGUUCAGGUUCUUCAAAAACAGCUAGAUGAUGUGAAGGAAGAGGAGAUGUCAUUGUUAAGCAAACACAAAGAAGUGGAAAGUGAGCUAGCAGCUGCUAGGGAGCGCUUACAGCAGCAGGCCACUGAUCUUGUUCUCAAAGCCAGUCACAUUGGAAUGCUUCAAGCUACUCAGAUGACUCAAGAGGUUACAAUCAGAGAUUUGGAAUCAGAAAAGUCUAGAUUAAAAGAAAAACUAUCCCAACUGGAAGAGGAAAGAAACUUACUACAGAGCAAAACACAGAGUCUGGAUGAGCGACAAAGGCAGCAAAUUCUGGCCUUGGAAAAGAAAGUAAAUGAAGCAAGGGAGUCACAACGUGAAUAUUAUGAGAAGGAGCUGGUAAAAUUGCAAGCAAGAUUGGAAGGGGAAGCUGCACAGUUAAAGGAGGCUCAUUCUAAGACCUUAGAAGAAUUAGCAUGGAAACACCAUACUGCAAUUGAGGCUGCGCACAGUAAUGCUAAUAAGGAUAAGAAAAAACUGCAGAUGGAGCUGGAGCAACAGUUUGAGAAGGAGAAACUGCAUUUGGAGGAUGAUAAGAAUCAGCUCCGACAGCAGCUGGAGAACCUGAAGGAAGAGCUGACAACAAAACUGACUUCUGCCAAUCAGGAGGUGUGUCGUCUACAAGACCUAGUACGAAAAAGUGAGCAAGGCCUUGGUACUGCAGAAGGACAUAUCUCCAGUCUUCAAGAAGCUCAGGAAAUACUCCAGAAGGAACUAGAAUUAACUAGAGCAAGACUGCGAGAGACCACAGAUUCAUUGUAUAGUGUUGAGGGGGAACUAGAUCAGGAGAGACAACAGCACGAGGCGAUGAUUGCUGCCAUGAGAGAAGAGGAAAAGUUCAAAGUUGACAGAAUGGCUCGUGACUUGGAAAUAAAAUGGACAGAAAAUCUUCGACAGGAAUGUAAUAAGCUUCGUGAAGAGCUGAGGCUACAGCAUGAAGAGGAUAAAAAGGCAGCUAUGACUCAGCUGUUGCAGCUGAAAGAACGUGAAAAAAAUGCAGCAAGGGAUGGAUGGCAAAAAAAAGUUGAAGAUCUUUUAGACCAGCGGCACUGUCUCGGUGAAGCUUUGCAUAAAUCUAUCAGCAAUAUCUCCUUACUGAAGCAGAAUCUGGAGAUGCAGCUUUCCCAGUCACAGAGCUCUUUGCAGCAGCUACAAGCCCAGUUCAGUCAGGAGCGACAGAGGCUGACUCAGGAGAUACAGGAAUUAGAAGAGGAGCAUCAGCAAAGGCAUAAGUCACUUCAGGAAGCCCAUAUCCUUGCCUUUCAAAACAUGGAAGAAACAAAAGAGCAAGAACAAAAGGAAUUAGAAGAACGCUUACAACAGAAGCACUCAGAAGAACUUCAGGCACUGAAAGAAACACAUAAACAAGCCAUGGAAGGCUUCAAACUGGAGAUGGAACAGGAACUUCAGACACUACGAUUUGAGCUGGAGGAUGAAGGAAAAGCUAUGUUAGCUUCCUUGCGCUCAGAGCUAAAUCAUCAACAUGCAGCAGCAAUUGACCAGCUGAGGCACAACCAUCAACAGGAGUUGGUAGCUGCCAAGAUGGAGCUUGAAAGAAGCAUAGAGCUCGGCAGGCGACAGGAGAAAGAAUUCUUAUGCCGAAUAUCAGAUCUACAAGAUGAACUGAGACACCGAGACCAUCAUAUAGCUGAACUGGACAAAGAGAUUCUGCAUCUUCAUGAAAAUAUAAGUGCAUUGACUAAGGAAUUAGAGUUUAAAGGCAAAGAAGUUCUUAGAAUACGCAGUGAAUCAAACCAACAGAUCAGGAUGCAUGAGCAAGAUUUAAGCAAGAAACAUGAGAAAGAGAUGGAUGUCUUGACAGCAGAUCACAUCAGAGAGAAACAAAGCAUGCUGGCAGAUUUUAAUAAGACCCAAGAGCUGCUCAAGGAAAUUAAUUCAGCUUUGCAAAUUUCUUUGUUAAAUUUCCUGAAUCUGUUCUGAAACUUCGUUCACUAAUCUACAUGAGGGUUGAGUAUGAGAGGCAAGUAUUUUAAUAGUUUCCUUUGGAGCAAUGUUUGGCAUCAUGAGCGUUAUAUUUAUGUUUCAGAGAGACACAGUUAUUUGAAAUUGUCAGGUCUUCAAAACUUGUUCUUUAAGAAGAAAUAAGGAGGUUUAUGCAGUUACUUGUACAAUUCCUCUCUCACUAGGCUUAUUUCACUUCUCUCCUUUAAUGCUUUCCCACCAGGCAUUUCAGGUUUCCUCCUAUUUUUUUCAAAUGUUUAUCAAUUGUUACAUUUCUCUUAAUCCAGAUAUCCUAAUAUCCAAGUGUUAUUGCUUUUCUUUUGCAGCUCAUUCCUUUAUUUCUCUAAUGGUACUAAGUUGCUUUUGUGGAGAGGAGUUAGUUACCUGUUAGUCUUCACUGUUCUUGGAUAUCUUUGUCCCAGUAUGUUCCACAUGAACUGAGGAAGACGGUGCCAGCCUUGUCUGUCUGUCCAGUUUCUCCAGUAUCACAAGAAUGCAUCUUUAUUCAGAGUAGUCAUCUCUAAAAAGAAAAAUGAUACUGUUUGUGUUCCUCAUCAAGAAAAUGAAUUGCCAGCUUUUAAAAUUUAUGUUAAUAUUAAAUAUAAUGCAAUGUAGUUCCUAUAUUUUACAUAAGAAUCAAUCUUAGCUAUGUCUUCUGUAAUUCUACUGUCUAUAUUACAGUUCUGAAUGCCUUCUUUUCAGUCUGACUUCCAAGAGGCCUUUUCUCAAAAAACUUAGUUCUGCAUGUGCACAAAAGAUAUAAAGUUUUUAGAAUUUUGCCCAGAUUAUUAAUUACUGGAGCAAAGGCUGUUGUUAUUGUUGAUCUAUUUUCUUUUAACUCACUAAAGCUGAAUGAUAACAUAGAAAUUAGUUUACUUCAAGGUGGUAAGAAAAUCACCUUCUGCUUUUAAUCCCUGAACUCUCUUUUUGUACUAAUCAAAAAUGUGACUGUACACUCAUUAUUUAACACUGGAUCAGGCUAAAGGGGGUAUUCUUCUUUCCUAUAAAGUUUAGAAGAAAUGGAGGAAAAAUAUAAAACCAGAGAAUCAAGACCAGAAGACUUGCAGCUUAUCUCAGAACUGAAAGACCUAAUUGCAGAGCGGGACCAGCUCAUAAAGAAAUUGAUUCAAAAGAAGAAGAACGAUAAAUCAACAAACA